UACGUAGGGGUGCAAGCGUUAAUCGGAAUUACUGGGCGUAAAGCGUGCGCAGGCGGUUGUUGCAAGACAGAUGUGAAAAUCCCCGGGCUCAACCUGGGAAACUGCAUUUGUGAUCUGCACGGCUAGAGUGUGUCAGAGGGGGGUAGAAUUCCACGUGUAGCAGUGAAAUGCGUAGAUAUGUGGAGGAAUACCGAUGGCGAAGGCAGCCCCCCUGGGAGUGACAACUGGACGCUCAUGCACGAAAGCGUGGGGAGCAAACAGG
rnacentral:rRNA from 1 species